AAGGAUCGAGGGCAGGCCUUACUACCACCUUUAUGAGGCCAUCAAGAGCCUGGAAAAUGGCAAAAAGAAAAAUAAGAAGAUCGAGCGAAUCCACGACAUAUGGUCUGAAGGCGUUGGCGUGAUCUCUUUGCACGUCUUCCAGAACACCAUUCCAGUUGAAGCUUGGACAAGAGAAGCGGCAAUGAUAACGGCCAUAGGCCUCGGCAACCUAAGUAACAGCAUCCAGGGCACCUUCUAUGGACUGCCAAGCACCUGGCGAUGGGCUGAGCGAAGGCGCCUGGGAACGCAUCUCUUGUGGCGGACGCUCCAGAUCUUCCUGCAGGAGGGCGAGAGGCAGCUUAGGCCCUCCGAUGUCACCCUGCCUGUGUGGAUGAAGUGAGGGGAAGUGAUGGGGGACAAGAUGAGGUUUCUCAGAAUGGGUUGAGAUGAAGUGUGAUUUUUUCUUCUUUUUUUUUUUACGUGAAAUAUUUUGUAGAUUUGGCCGGAUCUGCAUAGAGUUAGAUGGGAAGAUUUUUUUAGUAUUGUUAUUUAUCUAAUUAUUUAUCUUCAUAGUUCUGUCGGAGGUUCAAUUGAUCUGAUUAAUUGGACUAGUGGAAAAUUUUGGUAUUAUAUAUAUUUUUAAAAUUAUUAUUUUAUUAUUUAUUAUUAUUAUUAUUAUUAUUAUUAUUAUUAUUAUUAUUAAUUAUUCUUUUUGGGAGGGUAUUCUGGUUCUGUAAUUGCUUUUUAUAUGGAAACUGCUUUUAAAGUAGGUGUCCAUAAGAAAUUGCAAUUAUUUUUAAUGCCUAGAUAGAUUAAAUUUGCAUAAUCAAUCUGGAAUCUCAAAGAUGUGAUAAUGGUAGUACAAAUAUUGCAUUUAAGGUGGAAUACCUUCAAUGUUUUAUCCAGUUUAUUUUACAGAAAAUGUGAGUUUUAAUAUUUUAAAAUUUGGGAAUAUAAAAUUUUGAUGUAACUAAAUAUGCAUUUAUUCCCUUCAUACUUACCAAAGCCCACAGUGUGUAAAUGAAAGCAUUGUUGUAUUAUGAAGCAUAUUGAAGAUUAUUGUAAUUUUUGUUGUUGUAUUUAUUUAUUUUUUUACCUAUAAGUUUGAUG